rnacentral:lncRNA from 1 species
UCAUUUUGUAUAUAAAUUUUAAUUUUUUGACCCUUGGAAGGCUAAGCUUAAAAGACCCUUGCGAACAAAAAAAAAAAAAUCUCUCCACACUAUUAGUGGCCCUCCCUAAGUUCCUAUUAGUGGUGAGGUGCUCAUAAAGAAUGGAAAUAUAUAGAGUGGAGCUCUAGUUAAUCAUAUAUUCUCCAAGUAUCCUUCCCUAGGACCUAGGUGCCCUUUUUUAACUUUAACGCAAGUUUUGGGGUUCUAAAAACCCUUUGAAAAAUAGUUUUGAUACAUGGACACAUACACUUGUGGUAUGAAGUAUUGUCAAUAAGCAUGCAAAUAAGGGAAAAGUUUUUAUGUUUCUCCUACAACAUACAAAAUGUAUACUUCUCCUUUUAUCCAGAUGUUCAAAUUAGAUCAAGUGAACCACUAACCAUUUAAUCUAGAUCCAACGCCUCACAUAAUUUUAUUUUUAAUUUUUUUUCCUAAUAAUUAUAUAAAU